CCUACGGGCGUCAGCAGUAGGGAAUUUUCGGCAAUUGUGGCAACUCUGACCCAGCAACUCCGCGUGAACGAAGAAGUCAUUAGUGUUGUAAACUUCUGUUGUCAGGGAAGAAAAGGAUAUUUGUCAUUACCUAGAAAAUACGCGCCGGCUAACUUCGUGCCAGCAGCCGCGGUCAUACUGAGGGAGCGAUCGUUAUCCUUAAUUAUUGUACAAAAAGCGUGCGUAGAUGGAAUAGUAAGUCUUUUGGAAAAAUGCUGGGCACAACCCAGUAGGGCAAAAGAUACUGGAAAGCGAGAGUAUGACAGAGGCAAGUGGAACUACAUGUGUAGCGGUAAAAUGCGUAAAGAUAUGUAAGAACACCAGUGGCGAAGGCGGCUUGCUGGGUCAAUACUGACACUGAGGCACGAAAGCGUGGGGAGCAAACAGGAUUAGAUACCCCGGUAGUC
rnacentral:rRNA from 1 species